AACACGUGCAAGUCGUGCGAGAAAGUAUCUUCGGAUAUGAGUAGAGCGGCGGACGGGUGAGUAACGCGUAGGAAUCUACCUAGUAGAAGGGGAUAGCCCGGGGAAACUCGGAUUAAUACCGUAUACCUCCUUCGGGAGAAAGAAGGCCUCUCUUUGAUGCUUUCGCUAUUAGAUGAGCCUGCGUAAGAUUAGCUUGUUGGUGAGGUAAAGGCUCACCAAGGCGACGAUCUUUAGCUGGUCUGAGAGGACGAUCAGCCACAUUGGGACUGAGACACGGCCCAGACUCCUACGGGAGGCAGCAGUGGGGAAUAUUGGACAAUGGGCGCAAGCCUGAUCCAGCCAUACCGCGUGUGUGAAGAAGGCCUUCGGGUUGUAAAGCACUUUAAGCAGGGAGAAAAAGUUAUAAGUUAAUACCUUAUAGCUGUGAUGUUACCUGCAGAAUAAGCACCGGCUAAUUCCGUGCCAGCAGCCGCGGUAAUACGGAAGGUGCAAGCGUUAAUCGGAAUUACUGGGCGUAAAGCGCGCGUAGGUGGUUUGUUAAGUUGGAUGUGAAAGCCCUGGGCUCAACCUAGGAACUGCAUCCAAAACUAACUCACUAGAGUACGAUAGAGGGAGGUAGAAUUCAUAGUGUAGCGGUGGAAUGCGUAGAUAUUAUGAAGAAUACCAGUGGCGAAGGCGGCCUCCUGGAUCUGUACUGACACUGAGGUGCGAAAGCGUGGGUAGCGAACAGGAUUAGAUACCCUGGUAGUCCACGCCGUAAACGAUGACAACUAGCUGUUGGGAGACAAUGUCUUUCAGUGGCGCAGCUAACGUUUUAAGUUGUCCGCCUGGGGAGUACGGCCGCAAGGCUA
rnacentral:rRNA from 1 species